UUAGUUCUGUGGACUAUCUUCUUAUCAACAAAAAUACUGUUUCAACACUGCUUAAGAGAGCAAAAAUGGUGUGUGAUUCUCUCAACAGGAUAAAAAUAAGAUUCAGAAAACCAAAGCCUAAACGUAAUGGAAAAUCCUCCUCCAUUACCUAUGAAUUCUUGGGGCACAACUGAAACCUUUCAAGAACACAAACUGCUCUUCUUCAUUCUCCUCCCAGGAGGAAGGUACGCUGCCGGCCUGCUAUCUUACAGUGGGGACAGGAAUAAUAACACAGCGGCGGCCCUCUGCCUAAAUCAAGUGCGGUAGUUAAGGAGAAGAUCCUUGCCUUCAUGCUCCCCCUUUUGUCUCCAUGCGCUUCUCUUUCUGCUUCAGGGGUGCACACAGUACAACGAGUGGAGACAAGAACAGAGGUUUGGAGAGAGUGGGCAUCUGGGCUCGGGAGGUACAGGGGCAAGAGGCCGUUUAGUAACCUUCCUUUAGCAGUAAUACCCACGUACUCGGAGCAAUAAUGAGUAAAGUAAAGCUUCUCCUUAGCUACCACUCUUGAUUUAGGCAGAGGGCCGCCGCAGUGUCAACAUGUUGCUCAUCAUUCCCUUGGAUGUUGCUCCUAGUGGUCUCAAAGUAGUUGCUUGUUUUUCAAUUCCUGAUUUGGAGGUGAGUUUUGGUUGUAUAAAAACCAGAUGAACUGCCCAAUAGAGGCUCCUGUAGGCUGCCAAUGCACAUGCGGCUGCCAAAUGGUCAAUCACCUAUUUUGCACCACCCAGUAACAUUGUUUAUGCUUGAGUUGCUCCCUAACUCUUUUUACAUCUGAAUGUGGCUUACAGGUAAAAAAAAGGACCCCUGCAUUAAGGUAAUUAAAAAACAUUUAUAAAAGACAAAGGUUGAGUUGCCAUCACCAUGGAUUUAUUUCUUCUUACUUACAGAUAGAAAGCAAAUCAGUCACAAACCAAUUACUGCUUGUUUACACAAUGGGAAAUGGCAUUUCCAUAUUUUAUUGUUACACUGAUUUUGUUUACUAUAGACGGCAAACCGAAGGUGGAGUGCAGUGUGGUAACAGAGUUCACUGAUCAUAUCCGUGUGAGAAUGGAUGCAGAACUGAUCAUAUUCCUACAUGAUAUGGUGUUUACUUGAAGGAGAAAGAAAAAUGUACAUCCUCUGUGUUUCUGUUUGGUCCCACUGUUAAACGUUCAAAACGUUUUAACCCACUACAAGUGCCAAAAGUACUUUACAACUCGUCCAGGUCAGAAAAGCCCAGUCAUAGAGAUCCAUGAAAUCUCCUCUGUGCAAUACUUGAGCCCACCCUCAGGUAUUUAUUCAUCAUGUUUCACUUGCUUCUGUUAAUGCUUCAACAAUUCAAUCAAAUUUGGCCUGAGGAGCAAUAAUGUAAAAUUCAUAAGAGAUAGCAUUAUCCUGUGUAUGUGUUUAAUGGCAGCUGUUUUCUUAUUGUUAACAUUCUUUCACUAAUUGGUCAGUGUACCCCUCAAAAACACAGGCAUUCAUUGUGCACCCUGAAGCCGAGCAUAAUCAUCAUAGAAUCCAACAAAAAUAACCCAUUGAGUUUCUGAACUGAAAUCUGCUCAGUAUGCAUUGU